ACCACUACUCAUUUGGCUAUCUUUAUGCAGACCCAAAUUAUGCUUGAUCAACUUUCUGAACUUCAAAGGAAGGAAGAAUUGCUACUGCAGACCAACAAUGCAUUAAGGAAGAAGGUAGGCACCUUUAAAUGGGGUUCUGGAGAGCAUGUGAAAAUUUCUACAUAUCUUUGUUGCGAAUCCUGUCUGAUAUCGAGAAACAUCUUCUGGCUUUCUGCUUCUGGGAAAACCUGAAAUUUCCUUCCUCUUGUGUGAUUGUGCUGAUUUAAACUAUCAUCUAUUAUUUUCAAUCGGGUUUCCAUCCUUUACCACUUGCACCACGAGUUGAACACUCAACCACAUUAUGAAUUUCCGAAUGACAAUUAACUUACUUUUUUAAUCUGUAAAAUUUUCCAUGUCUUAUGGACAGUUGGAGGAAACUGAUGCAACCCUUCAAUCAUCAUGGGAAGCUAGGGAACAAAGUACUGUUCAAUACGACCGCCAGCCUGCUCACCCAGAUGGUUUAGUCGAUCCCUUGCAAUGCAACAGGAAUUUGCGAAUUGGGUAAUUCACUGUUCACAAAGCAAGAAUUCUAGUUCAAGAUGUUUACAUUUAGGUUCUUAUCCUUUAUUGUUAUUAUUAUUUUUUUUCUUGGAUUUGCAGUUUCAAUGCAGGGGAAACAGAUCAAGUGACUGUUGCAACCACAGAACAAAAUGUUGAUGGAUUCUUGCCUGGGUGGAUGCUUUAAAUAUUUGAAAAUCCAAGAAACUUCUGUAGAAUCAAUAAUUGAGUAGAUCAAUAACUAGACACUAAACUGUAUAAUAUAUGAUGCUCAUGUUGGCUUCUUGGGCAACUAUGGAUACACUUGAGCAGUAAUUAAACUGCUUGUAAUAAACAAAUUCUCACUGUUCUAAUUAUUUGGUGAACCAAGCUUGUAUUUAUUAAUAAGUUAUUAUGGAGUUGCUUUAAGAAUCUACUUGUAAAUGCAUGUAUGGUCAUGUAUUUCAG
rnacentral:misc_RNA from 1 species